AGCAGCCGCGGUAAUUCCAGCUCCAAUAGCGUAUAUUAAAGUUGUUGCAGUUAAAAAGCUCGUAGUUGAAUUUCGGGAUCAAUAUUUCGGUCAUGCCGUUGGUAUGCACUGUUAUCAUUGAUUUCUCACCUUCUAAAGAACCGUGAUGCCAUUAAUUUGGUGUUACGGGGUAAUUAGGACUGUUACCUUGAAAAAUUAGAGUGUUUAAAGCAGGCUCACGCUUGAAUACAUUAGCAUGGAAUAAUGAAAUAGGACAUCCGAUUCUAUUUUGUUGGUUUCUAGGAUCGAUGUAAUGAUUAAUAGGGGUAGUUGGGGGCAUUAGGUAUUCAAUUGUCAGAGGUGAAAUUCUUGGAUUUAUUGAAUGACUAGACUACUGCGAAAGCAUUAUGCCAAGGAUGUUCUUCAUUAUAUCAAGAACGAAAGUUAGGGGAUCGAAGACGAUCAGAUACCGUCAGUCAGUCUUAACCAUAAACUAUGCCGACUAGGGAUCGGAUGAUGUUAAUUUUUUAAUGACUCA
rnacentral:rRNA from 1 species